rnacentral:rRNA from 1 species
GGAUCCUUUCCGGGAUUCAGUGCCGCAGCUAACGCAUUAAGCACUCCGCCUGGGGAGUACGACCGCAAGGUUGAAACUCAAAGGAAUUGACGGGGGCCCGCACAAGCGGUGGAGCANGUGGUUUAAUUCGAAGCAACGCGAAGAACCUUACCAGGUCUUGACAUCCCGAUGCUAUUUCUAGAGAUAGGAAGUUACUUCGGUACAUCGGUGACAGGUGGUGCAUGGUUGUCGUCAGCUCGUGUCGUGAGAUGUUGGGUUAAGUCCCGCAACGAGCGCAACCCCUAUUGUUAGUUGCCAUCAUUCAGUUGGGCACUCUAGCGAGACUGCCGGUAAUAAACCGGAGGAAGGUGGGGAUGACGUCAAAUCAUCAUGCCCCUUAUGACCUGGGCUACACACGUGCUACAAUGGUUGGUACAACGAGUUGCGAGUCGGUGACGGCGAGCUAAUCUCUUAAAGCCAAUCUCAGUUCGGAUUGUAGGCUGCAACUCGCCUACAUGAAGUCGGAAUCACUAGUAAUCGCGGAUCAGCACGCCGCGGUGAAUACGUUCC